AGUUCUUCAAGCCAUCUGGAAUGAAAAGAAGACAAAGAGCUGAGGCCACAUGAACUCACAGGACACUCCAGGACCUCAAGAUGGACAGAGACUGAGUAGCCAGGAGUCCAGAAGAGCUGCUCUUGAAGUUCACUGACGGAGAUCCAACCUGCCGCUGAUGUUCCCACCCGGCCCCUUCCUUAGGUUUGUGGCACUGUCCAUCCAGUUACUGGUCUGUCUACAAAUGGUCUGCUGCACUGUCUGUCUGUCUCUUUGCCUCUCACUUAUAAAGACUGAGAUGGUGGUUAGGAUCCACUCAGCUAAUCUGUGAUGGUUUUUAAAUUUUAAAAUCAUUAAUUAUCGGAACAUUUUUAUGACAUAUGCAAAGAUGUUUUUCGCCAAGUGAGACUAUCUACAUAUUUGGUGUUCGUUAUUCAACCCAACAUUUCAAUUAUGAUGAGUUGAUCCUUACUUGGUAUUUUGCUCUGACACAAUCUCUACAAAAGUGAACUAAGGGGGAGAGUGUUUAUUUUGGCUCCAGUUUGGGGAUAUGGUCCAUGGUGGUAGGGAAGACAUCGCAGGACAUGCUGCCGGAACUCCUCACUGUCUCAUAUCUUGGAGGAACAGGAAGCAGAGAAUAGACAAGAAGAGGGACCUGGCUACAGAACGACACCUUUUAAAGGCCUGCACCCAGAGACCCACUUCCUCUAGUUAGGCUCCGCCUCCUGCCGGUUCUUCAACCUUCCAAAGCAGCACCAGCGCUCGGGGCCCAACAUGGACGUACAGGAGCUUAUGAGGAAUAUUUCAUAUCCUGGACCAUAAAACCAAGAUACGAUGUUCGUAAAGUCCAAAUCCACUGGGUGGGUGUCAGUGCAACCUGAAAUGGCUAAUACAGAAAAUGAAUCUAGAAUCUUCGGGAUACAGAUAUAUCAUCACCACUGUUGAGUACUGCCGUCACGAGCAGAGGGCUGUCCAGUCUCCAAGGCAACAGAUUCCUUCAGACUUAUCUGUCUCCUGCCCUCUAUUCAUUAUUCCCAUGUAACGUGGAAGUAGAGGUCUUUCCAGAAGUGUCUCGGGGGCAGGAGAGAUGAUGGUUCUGAAGUUAAAAGUGCUUGCUGCUCUCCCAGAGGACCCGGGUUUGAUUUUCUGCAUCCACAGGGCAGCUCACAAUUUCAGCUUCAGGGGAUCCAUUGCCCUCUUCUGGCCUCUAUGAGCAUCAGGCAUGUGGCACAUACUCGUCCAUGCAGGCGAAACAUCCACAUACAUAAUUUUUAAGUGUCUCUAUUUGUUAUAUCACCAUUGUGUCACAUCACCUGUCAAGAGAAAGAGUUCUAAAGUAGGUUGUGUCUAGCAGGAAUUGUAGGAUUUUAUCAUCAACCUCAAAUAUAAAAUAUACAUAUUGUACUUUGGAUGGGAAAUGUUCCACAUAGGCGUGUGUAUUUGAACAUUUAGUUUCCAGUUAGCGGUGCUGUUUGUGGGGAACACUUUAUGGAACACUUUAGGAGACCGAAUUUCUCUAGAAAAAGUCCAUCACUCACAGAAGGUGGCCUUUGAGAGUCUACAGCCUAUGCCUCAUCCUGUUCUCGCUAACUCUCCACAUCCUGUGUGUGAAUGAAAUGUGACUGCCCUGCUUGCUAACUUCAGAACCACACACUCAUGCCCAAUGCCCUUUCUCUGGACUGUAAGCCAAAAGAAACCCCUUUCUCCUCUAAGAUGCUUGAUAGUGGUGGUGGUGGUGGUGGUGGUGGUGGAGGUGGUGGUGGUGGUGGUGGUGGUGGAGGUGGUCUGUUUUAUUACAGAAACAACAAAGUAACUAAUACACCCAUAAUAAAUAAACACAUUCUAUAUUGUAUGUUUUCAGCUGAGCAUUUAUUGACAUUUAUUCAAAGAAUAAAGAAUUUAAUUUAUAAGACU
rnacentral:lncRNA from 1 species